ensembl:lncRNA novel transcript
UUUACAGGCCAGGAUCCACUGCAUAUAGGAAUCUUUCUCAUUGAAAUCUACAGAGCUCAAGAGUAUCUGCAUUUGGAGAAGAGCCUGGGAAGCAGCUAUCCAAGCACUGGGUGCAUUCCAAUCUCAGUUUUGCAGUGGAGGAAACCAAAGCUUUGAGAAGUUAACUUACCUGUCUACUGUUAAAAAGAGGAACCGAGGUGUGAAACUGAGUUUUUGCCUUCCCUGACCAAGACUCUGAAAAAAUAAGUCACCAAGUCCCUCGUUGGCUGCUCGUCAGAUUUCUCUCUUCAAUUCCAAGCGCAUCUUAUGUAAACAAUAGUGUCUAUGAUAGUGGAUGUGAUUGUGUGCUACCUGGAUCUCCUAGCUGAAAUCCUUCGAAGAAUUUCCUUCAGUCAAUGGGAGCCACCUCCCCUGAGGUUAUGGCUCCAGGUGAAGAUUAAACAGCUGUAGAAGUGUCAUCCAAGAUUGGCCAAUGCUGUUCCUGAGAGUCCUUCCUGGAGAGCCAUCUGCACACAGAUCUCAGUCUCAGAGUCUAUUUCCCAAUGAAUCUAAUCUGAGAGAU